rnacentral:rRNA from 1 species
GCAAGUCGAACGAGAACGGGUUAUAGUUACUAUAACUGUCAGCUAAGUGGCGCACGGGUGAGUAAUAUAUAGUUAAUCUGCCCCAAAGAAGAGAAUAAUUGUUGGAAACGACUUGUAAUGCUCUAUAUGCCUUUAUUACAUAAGUAAGCAAGGGAAACAUUUAUGGCUUUGGGAUGAGACUGUACGGUAUCAGAUAGUUGGUGAGGUAAUGGCUCACCAAGUCAAUGACGCCUAACUGGUUUGAGAGGAUGAUC